UACGUAGGGUGCGAGCGUUAAUCGGAAUUACUGGGCGUAAAGCGUGCGCAGGCGGCUUUGCAAGACAGAUGUGAAAUCCCCGGGCUCAACCUGGGAACUGCAUUUGUGACUGUAUAGCUAGAGUACGGCAGAGGGGGAUGGAAUUCCGCGUGUAGCAGUGAAAUGCGUAGAUAUGCGGAGGAACACCGAUGGCGAAGGCAAUCCCCUGGGCCUGUACUGACGCUCAUGCACGAAAGCGUGGGGAGCGAACAGG
rnacentral:rRNA from 1 species